GACGAACGCUGGCGGCGUGCUUAACACAUGCAAGUCGAACGGAAAGGCCCUGCUUUUGUGGGGUGCUCGAGUGGCGAACGGGUGAGUAACACGUGAGUAACCUGCCCUUGACUUUGGGAUAACUUCAGGAAACUGGGGCUAAUACCGGAUAGGAGCUCCUGCUGCAUGGUGGGGGUUGGAAAGUUUCGGCGGUUGGGGAUGAACUCGCGGCUUAUCAGCUUGUUGGUGGGGUAGUGGCUUACCAAGGCUUUGACGGGUAGCCGGCCUGAGAGGAUGACCGGCCACAUUGGGACUAAGAUACGGCCCAGACUCCUACGGGAGGCAGCAGUGGGGAAUAUUGCACAAUGGGCGGAAGCCUGAUGCAGCAGCGCCGCGUGCGGGAUGACGGCCUUCGGGUUGUAAACCGCUUUCGCCUGUGACGAAGCGUGAGUGACGGUAAUGGGUAAAGAAGCACCGGCUAACUACGUG
rnacentral:rRNA from 1 species